ensembl:lncRNA
UGAUUAUUCACCACGUCUAACGUUCUAUCUACUUGUUUUUCUUUGUGUGUGUGUACAUAUAUAUAAAUACCUUGCUACGUGUACUUGCUUUAGGCUAACAGAGACUUGUCAUUUGCACUUACAUAUUGCUGCUCUUUUGUUAGUUUUGAUUGCUUCUAUUGUCCUCAUUUGUAAGUCACUGCUAAAUGACUAAAUGUAAAUGUAAAUACUACAUAUGAUAUAUAUGAAUAGACAAUUAUAUAGAACAAAUAUGCAUUCAGUUAAAAUUAAUUUUACAUGUAUCUAUGGUUUUGUUUCGUAAUGUCAUUUAAAAAAAAUAAAUUCAAGGGAUUAUUAUUAUUUUUAUUUUUUUUUUUUUGAGGCUGAUGAAAGAUUUUUAAAAAAAUGUAUUUUAAAAAAAUGUAUAACAUAGGACAUAUAUGUUGUUAAUAGAACUUUUACAUAUUUUUACCAGUGUUUUUGUUUUGUAUUGUUUCAGAUUUUGAAUUCAUGGGUUAAUGAAUGAGAGGAGCGAGCAAUACUCUUUAGCUGUGGCUAUAUUAACAGUAUAUCUUGGCAUUUUGUAUCUUAUUGCUUAAAUAAUAAAGAAAUGACUGAGACUGCAGUGUUCAAAAACUACUCCAUCACAUUAGUCUACUGCAGGUGUUUCUCAGAUCAUGGCUGUACAUAAAUAUGAAGGAAUUGAACACAGCUUUUUAAUGUGGUUCAUCUGGCCAUCUGUAUGUGAUGUAUAAUAGCACUGAUUCAGUCUGACUGCUGUCAGAUUAUAGGCCCUGCAGCCAAAGUUUUUAACAGACAAGACAGUGCAGAAUGAACAGGGAGUACAUCAUGACAUUUCCUUCACACUCUGAUUGCUUGUGUGCGCAUGGGUCUGUUUGUUUGUUGUGGGCUGCAAAGUCUGAGUGUUCAUCAGAAAUCCGCUACAACCCAGCAGAGGGUAUAAUUUACAGUGAUUGCAUUUGAAUACUCUCUGACACAUACGCUCUGUGACAAUUCUCCUUUCUUUCUUUCUUUCUUUCUUUCUUUCUUUCUGCUCUUCAUUCUUCCUCAAUUGGUUUGUCUCACUCUUUUUCACUGAGCAGGUUGGGGCAAGUGUAUCAGCAGUCAGACAGAUUGGUUACUACCCCGGGGUUUUGGGAAUUUGCUGGGGAGGAAACCAUGUCAGAAAGCUGCCAGGCAGCCAAACAGCUCUCUCGAGGGACAGAAAAAAAGAGGACGUGAUAAGAGGAGUGAGAGGUGUAGAUGGACUGCCAUCAUGUGGAUCUGCUGCCCACUGCUUCUGCAGAGAGAGGAAAAACUGACCCACAGAGGGCUUACCUUUCUACACUGCAUGGUGGGUGGUGCAGUGAUGCUACCAUAUUAUAAUAUUAAUAGUUGAGCUUAAAAUAUUAAUAUUAUACUUUAAAGUUCAUUUUAAUUUUAGUUAAGAUUCUGUCAUUUUGUUAUCUGCUUUUAUAAUUCAUAUUAGUAUUUGUUUUUUAUAUUUAUACACACAUACAUGUGUGUGUGUGUGUGUGUGUGUGUGUGUGUGUGUGUGUGUGUGUGUGUGUGUGUGUGUGUGUGUUUGUGUGUGUGUUGUUUUAUUAUUAUAGUAAUAACAUUUUAAAUUAACUUAUUUUCAUUUUUUUAUGUAUUUGAUUCAAACAUUUCAUUACUGCAUAAUAAAGUGGUAUUGAUUUAGUAACA